GGAGCGGUAACACGGCCGGUUGCAACCGGUCUGGCACACCAGGGCUUGCAGGUUAGAGCCCGGUCCGCUCCGCCA
rnacentral:tRNA from 1 species